GAUGAACGCUAGCGGGAGGCUUAACACAUGCAAGUCGAGCGGUAGGGCAGCAAUGCCUGAGAGCGGCGCACGGGUGCGUAACGCGUAUGCAACCUGCCUUAUACAGGGGAAUAGCCCAUGGAAACGUGGAUUAAUGUCCCAUAGGAUUACGGAUUCGCAUGGAUUUGUGAUUAAAACUGAGGUGGUAUAAGAUGGGCAUGCGUCUGAUUAGGUAGUUGGUAGGGUAAUGGCCUACCAAGCCGACGAUCAGUAGGGGUUCUGAGAGGAUUACCCCCCACACUGGUACUGAGACACGGACCAGACUCCUACGGGAGGCAGCAGUGAGGAAUAUUGGUCAAUGGCCAGAAGGCUGAACCAGCCAUCCCGCGUGCAGGAUGACGGCCCUAUGGGUUGUAAACUGCUUUUGUACCUGAAGAAACCUGUUUACGAGUAGACAGUUGCCGGUAAGGUAUGAAUAAGCAUCGGCUAACUCCGUGCCAGCAGCCGCAGUAACAC
rnacentral:rRNA from 1 species